rnacentral:piRNA from 1 species
CCCCAUCAGAUCGACCCUGUUGAUC